AAUCGCCGCCAUUAGGAAUAUAACUGAUGAAUAAUUGUGUGUAAUUUUACUUUCUUAUACCAGCCCUUAACACAUUCUCUUCUGCCUCCGUCUCCGCCUCCGAUUCCGACAAACCAAAUUAAAAACUCCGCUUCCGAAAUCGGUUCCGAUAUAACCACUUCCGCAACA